UACGUAGGGUGCAAGCGUUAAUCGGAAUUACUGGGCGUAAAGCGUGCGCAGGCGGUUCGCUAAGACCGAUGUGAAAUCCCCGGGCUUAACCUGGGAACUGCAUUGGUGACUGGCGGGCUAGAGUAUGGCAGAGGGGGGUAGAAUUCCACGUGUAGCAGUGAAAUGCGUAGAGAUGUGGAGGAAUACCGAUGGCGAAGGCAGCCCCCUGGGCCAAUACUGACGCUCAUGCACGAAAGCGUGGGGAGCAAACAGG
rnacentral:rRNA from 1 species